rnacentral:lncRNA from 1 species
GGGCGGGGCGCGGGGCGGAGCCUCGGCCGGAGGCGGCCGUGUCCCCAGACCGGCCCGGGGCCGCAGUGGCCGCCGCCGAGCCAGGCUGCUCAGAGCGCCCGGGCGCAGACGGGUCCGCGGGCCGACGGGGCGCGCAGAGCAGGUAGAGCCUCCCCUGUCCCCACCCGUCCCGCGACUAGACCGCCAGCCCGCGCCGCCGCCGCUCCCCGAGCUGAGCGGUCGCGCCCCCACCACGACCCCGGACCAUCCUCCAGCCCCUGGGGUUGAAUUCCUGGGGAGGGGGUCUGAUCCGCCGGUACUCUGGCCCCAUCCUCCGGGCGGCCACUGAGCCAAACUUCCUACAAGGCACAUAGUAAAGUUGGAAAACAUACCCAAGACCUCCCUGCACGCGCUGGCGCCUCUGCCUCCCUCCUCCAGGGGGAUGCUUUUCGAGGACAUGUCCUCCUUCCCCACCCCCAACAGACACUUUCACUCCUGGAAUUGAGGGACAGGGUCGCCGACAGGGAUGCAGGUGAGUGCCUUUGAUACAGCUCAACCUGAUGGCGCAGGAGGUUGACCCAAAGGAAAGACACCUGUUGGAUAGUCCUCCAGGCCCCAGGAGAGGGCCGGAUGAGGAAGAAGGAAUUCUGACUCAGGACAGGGACUCUCCAUGGCCAGCCCAGAACCACACUAUCUAGCCCCCACCCACCAGCAGUGGCCCAUUUCCUAGAGUCCCUUGGGUCAACGUUGGAGAAGGGAUUAGCUCUGCUCCAGUCGCUCUCCUUGAUCUCUACUGUCCAGAGUGGGAGGUGUGGCCAGAAGGAGCCCAGGUUUGUCCUGACCAGGGUCCAGCCUGGCACCAGAGUGACCAGUUCUGACCUCUACUUUCCUCACCUUGGUCAGAGAGAGACACCAGAUGAGGGACAUGAAAAGGAGUGAAAGCACAAAUGUGUGUCUGUUUCCACAGAGCAGAGGGUAUCGGCCCCCUGCCCAGCUGUGCAGGGGAGGGUGGGGCGAGACUUUUCCAGAGAGGGAGCCAGGCCUGGCCCCACCCCAGGAGCUCACGUCACCCCCACCCCUCACUUCUCCAGGGAACUGCCAAAGCCAGCUCAGGACAGGAUUAUGUGUACUGGGUAGACCCGUGAAGAGAAGCAGCAAGAAUAGACCCGGGGAGUCGAGGGGAGCCCAGGAGAGGGGAGUGGAGCAGGCAGUGACCAUCACCCUGUCUCUGCUUCCCUUCAUCCCCAAGUAACAUCCAGGCAGAGGGCUGAGAGUUGGGUUGGAAUGUGGGUCCUUCUCUGGAACCCUAUCUCCCCCUCCCAUCAGGGCAGAGUUGCUGACCUCAGUGGCCAGCCCAGCCAGGGGAAAGAGAGGCCACCAUCAACCCCCUCUCCAACUCCAAGCAGCUGAGGUGGCCCUGCCCUGUGGCUCGGCCACUUUGAUCCCUCCCUCCAACUCUGAGUCCUGGGGUCCAACAGAGAGGCUGGAGCUGAGUGGUGCUACCCCCAAGCGCAUUCCUAC